GGGGGGGGGGGGGGGGGGGGGGGGGGGGUGGGGGUCGGGCGGGCGGGGCGGUAUGUGGGUGGCGGGGGGGUGGGUGGCGCGGGGGAACGUGCCUGUUGGGUCGGGACAACACAGGGCGAGUUGUGCUAAUGCCGGGUACGCCCGUACGGGGAAAGAUUGAUCGCCGAAAGAUCGGCCCGCGUCUGAUUAGCUAGUUGGUAGGGUAAUGGCCUACCAAGGCGACGAUCAGUAGCUGGUCUGAGAGGAUGAUCAGCCACAUUGGGACUGAGACACGGCCCAAACUCCUACGGGAGGCAGCAGUGGGGAAUAUUGGACAAUGGGCGAAAGCCUGAGCCAGCCAUGCCGCGUGAGUGAUGAAGGCCCUAGGGUUGUAAAGCUCUUUUGUGCGGGAAGAUAAUGACGGUACCGCAAGAAUAAGCCCCGGCUAACUUCGUG
rnacentral:rRNA from 1 species